UGAUUAUUUACAUGUAUUGCAUAUUAAUGUAUUUACAGAAUGUUGCAUGUCUUUCAGAAACAGACAGAAUUAGCAGCUGGUCUGUUGUCCAGCAGCCUGUGUCUGACAGACUUCAUCCAGCAGAUUCAGUGACCCUGCAGUGUUCGGUCAGCAGUCACAUCUGUGCUGGACAUUACAGAGUCUACUGAAUUAAACACUCAUCAGGAUAUUCUCAACCAGCGAUCAUUUACACUCAUGAUAACAGGAGCGAUCAGUGUUUGGAGAAAUCAGAGAAGAGCUCUUUGGUUCAGAGUUGUGUUUAUAGUCUCUCUCAGACUGAACUCUCUACAUCUGAUGCUGGAGUUUAUUACUGUGCCGUAGACAUAUGUGGGAAGAUACACUUUGGAAAUGGAACCAAGUUGACUAUUGAAGCUCCAUCCUUUUGGAAUCCUGUUGUUUUUACCCUGCCUAUAAUAAGUAUAAUAUCCAUUGUUGUGAACAUAGUUCUGGUGAUUCAACAAAAUCGGAAAAAAGAAACUACAGAACAACUCAGAAGCCAGAUAAAUCAGAUUGAAACAGAUGACUUAAAUUAUGCUGCCCUUCACUUUUCCAAAAAAAAGCCCACCACCUCGAGAAGAUCUUCAAUGAAAACCAUCCAGGAAACUAUUUAUUCAGAGACCACAAUACAUUAGCUGAGACCAUUACUGAUGAUAAGACAUUA